rnacentral:rRNA from 1 species
UACGUAGGGGGCUAGCGUUGUCCGGAAUCAUUGGGCGUAAAGCGCGUGUAGGCGGUCCGGUAAGUCCGCUGUGAAAGUCGGGGGCUCAACCCUCGGAUGCCGGUGGAUACUGUCGGACUAGAGUACGGAAGAGGCGAGUGGAAUUCCUGGUGCAGCGGUGAAAUGCGCAGAUAUCAGGAGGAAUACCGGUGGCGAAGGCGGCAUCCUGGACCAUUACUGACGCUGAGGCGCGAAAGCUAGGGGAGCAAACGGG